AGCAGCAGCCGCGGGAAUACGUAGGUCCCGAGCGUUGUCCGGAUUUAUUGGGCGUAAAGCGAGCGCAGGCGGUUAGAUAAGUCUGAAGUUAAAGGCUGUGGCUUAACCAUAGUACGCUUUGGAAACUGUUUAACUUGAGUGCAAGAGGGGAGAGUGGAAUUCCAUGUGUAGCGGUGAAAUGCGUAGAUACAUGGAGGAACACCGGUGGCGAAAGCGGCUCUCUGGCUUGUAACUGACGCUGAGGCUCGAAAGCGUGGGGAGCAAACAGGAUUAGAUACCCCGGUAGUCCCUGUCUCUUAUACA
rnacentral:rRNA from 1 species